UUAAGUACAACAUUUAACAUCAGUAAUGAUUGUUAACUCAGUUUAAUAAAAUACCAGUUAAAAUAAUGUGUUUUUGUUGGUAAAUUAGCACGUAAUAGUUGUUUUUUGAUCACUUUUUGUAAUAAGAAACUAAACUUAACAGACUUGAACAUUUUUAUGGAAUAUUGUGAACUGAUCUCAAGUUUCGCAAAUUUGGGUUGGGAAAAUUCAGCAUUUUAUCGAACUUCAAAAGUUUAAUUUAUAGAAAAAAUUACUAGAAAAUCCAACUUUUUCAGUACCAAUUUUGAAGAAAAAGAAUCAUUCUAUAAUAGCAUGCUUACAAAGUGGAAAAUUUCCAGAAGAUCGUUCGAGCUAUCGACGAAAAAUGUAAGUUUCCUUGUAAAUCAGAAGAUUUUUCGUGAUUGUGACGUCGCCGUAUGUACCAAUACUAGAGCAGAGCUGUCAUGGCACUACCUUCUUUAAAUAUUCCUUGGUCUAUAGUAAAUUAUAGUCUCUUUAAUGUGAACUUUUCUAAUUCAAAACGAUUAUGGAUAAAAAAAAGUACAACAUCUAAAGUAUGAAUAAUUUCAAAAGAUCAGUCUAACUGGCACCACUAGCUAAUUUGACAGAAUCAACACCAACAAAGGAGCACACUCAUUUGUUGGUGAAGAUUUUUUUUUACAGCUUCUGCGAGGAUUGUCGUAGGCGAUUACGGCAAAUGUUUCGGGGAAACAACCCUUUUAAUUGAACCGGUGUGCAGCAGAACACACGAUGGACGACGGAAAAUCAUUUUCCCCGCAUAAUCAUCACCCGGGCGACGGUGGCUUCCUGGCAAAGAGCAGCGUUAGAUCUACGAUGGUUCCUUUCGCUUUAUUCAACACCGUGUAGAAUCGUCGUUAGCGACCCCUCCAAGAAUCAUCGAAAAAGUUUUCGUAAUCGCGUCUCAUAUUGCAAGUGUGAAAAUUUAAUAAAAAUGGUGUGAAAAAAAUGGUUCAAUAAAUCAAACAUCCGAAAAUUCUCAAAAACAUGUCUUUCUAUGUAUGUGUGUGAGUGCCAUUCACGUACGGUUCUGGGUAGUGUUGAACGAAUGCUGUUACGAAUCGUUUGGGUUACUGUUUAGGUAAAAGAUUACUUUAAGAAAAACUGUAAAGGUAACAGUUUGACUGCCUUAAUAUGUUUUCCAUCAUCGGUUUUUAGACGUUAUCACAACUGUCUGUAGAACAGUUCCUCCAUAUGAAUGUUUUAACCGUUUUUAACAAUUACAUAACCUAACGACAUAUUAAAAAUAACGUCAAUUCAAAACUCACGAUUCAAGCAAUGUAUUUUACAAUUUCCAGAAUCGUUUGUUUAACAUUCUAUCUACGCUUCAUUAAAUAGUUAUAGGACUGUUUUAGAAAACGUUUGGUUACAAUCCUGGUUUAUGCGGGUUGCUCUUAUGCGCCACAGUAGAAGAGUUAUUUAAAACAUGGGCAGUGCUUUUUAAAAAGAAUAGCCGACACACGAAAAGAAUAACAUUAGCAACCAACAGUAGCAUAAGAAAAGUUAGGACUAUCUAUAGCAAUGCUGAUUCAAAAACUAAUUGGCUGGCAUGCAAAUAAUGUUCUGUUGAUUGACACAUUGAUUGAUAAAGAUGCUUUCCGGAAGAAAAAUACAUUAAGUAAAAGUAGUAAAUAAGAGAAUAGUAUAGGAUAAGAAUCAUCGUUGGAUAUUUUAUCACAUAUACGGUAAGUAGACUUUUGCUUGUAUAAUUCAAUUACAUACAUCAGGUUGCGAUUUCGAAAGUGAAAUGAGGGAUUGGUUUUUCCAUAAAUCAUUUAUUUUUCUUUCGAAAGCUUGUUUGCGCUGUGAGGCCUAAGGAGCCGAGUGAUAUUUUUCUUUUUUUAGAAAAUUUCAACAGUUUAUUUUGUUUUUUUCAGUACAACUUUUUAACUUUACUAUUAUUUGUAUGCAGAACUUUCAUCCGGCUUUAUGAUAUGGCAAGGCAAGGAUCGCCAGACAUAAAACACCACCAGGGAAGUUUCCGAACAUUGGGCUAUACCUCAACUAUUGUUGAACUCUGAAGAGUAUUUUCGUUCUUAUAUUUUCAGUUCCUUUUCCGAUAAUCCCGUUGAUAUUGACGGUAAGUUAUAACUUUUAUCAAAACAGUUUCAUGAGGAUACAAAUAUAAAAUACAAAAUAGUUACAUACAUUCGA